CCUCAGUCUCCCCCCCGGUCACGUGUGUUAAGAGCAAGGAUUCAGACCCACCGCAGGCUGUGUGCACAUUCGAUGAGAAGCCCCGGGAGGUGUUUGUAGGUGGCAUGCGCCCUCGUCACUGUGGCGGCAACACUCGUGUGCGUCUGCGUCUGCGGAGCAGCGUUGGGGAGCUGCAGGGUCCUGCCGGUUGAGCAUCCCUGGGCCCUCACUCGGGCAGGCGCGAGUCCCGGCGGUUGGACGAUUGGCGCCGCCUCCGGAGAGGAGCAUGGCACACAGGUUCUGGGCAUGGGAUAUGGACCAGCUUUCCCGAAAAGAAAGCCUGAGAGAGCUGUGUAAAUAGAACUGAGGCCGAGGAUUCCCUUCUCAGUGUGCUUGCCUCACGAACACAACUUGGCUGCUACAGCUCUGAAGGUCGCAUUCUCAUGCAAUGAUAUUUAAGGCACAAGGGCGUCAAGUGGAAAAGGAGUUUUCUUCUGUCAGGGUAAAUAUUAUUCUAGAAUCCUCCUGCAGACUUCCUUGUAGGUUUCCUUAGCUGCAAGGGAAGUUUGAAAUAGUGCAUGUCCACCAAUGGGAAAUGAAUUCUUGUUUUAAUGAUUGGCUUAAAUAAACUAUGAUUUAUUCCACUGGGCUGGACA
rnacentral:lncRNA from 1 species